rnacentral:tRNA from 1 species
UCUCUAGGAAACUUUUUUAGUUUGGGUCUUUUAAACCCAAAAUAGGUAGUUUUUCUACUACUAGA